UAAUUUGAGAGUUUGAUCCUGGCUCAGGACGAACGCUGGCGGCGUGCCUAAUACAUGCAAGUCGAACGAACUCUGGUAUUGAUUGGUGCUUGCAUCAUGAUUUACAUUUGAGUGAGUGGCGAACUGGUGAGUAACACGUGGGAAACCUGCCCAGAAGCGGGGGAUAACACCUGGAAACAGAUGCUAAUACCGCAUAACAACUUGGACCGCAUGGUCCGAGUUUGAAAGAUGGCUUCGGCUAUCACUUUUGGAUGGUCCCGCGGCGUAUUAGCUAGAUGGUGAGGUAACGGCUCACCAUGGCAAUGAUACGUAGCCGACCUGAGAGGGUAAUCGGCCACAUUGGGACUGAGACACGGCCCAGACUCCUACGGGAGGCAGCAGUAGGGAAUUUCCACAAUGGACGAAAGUCUGAUGGAGCAACGCCGCGUGAGUGAAGAAGGGUUUCGGCUCGUAAAACUCUGUUGUUAAAGAAGAACAUAUCUGAGAGUAACUGUUCAGGUAUUGACGGUAUUUAACCAGAAAGCCACGGCUAACUACGUGCCAGCAGCCGCGGUAAUACGUAGGUGGCAAGCGUUGUCCGGAUUUAUUGGGCGUAAAGCGAGCGCAGGCGGUUUUUUAAGUCUGAUGUGAAAGCCUUCGGCUCAACCGAAGAAGUGCAUCGGAAACUGGGAAACUUGAGUGCAGAAGAGGACAGUGGAACUCCAUGUGUAGCGGUGAAAUGCGUAGAUAUAUGGAAGAACACCAGUGGCGAAGGCGGCUGUCUGGUCUGUAACUGACGCUGAGGCUCGAAAGUAUGGGUAGCAAACAGGAUUAGAUACCCUGGUAGUCCAUACCGUAAACGAUGAAUGCUAAGUGUUGGAGGGUUUCCGCCCUUCAGUGCUGCAGCUAACGCAUUAAGCAUUCCGCCUGGGGAGUACGGCCGCAAGGCUGAAACUCAAAGGAAUUGACGGGGGCCCGCACAAGCGGUGGAGCAUGUGGUUUAAUUCGAAGCUACGCGAAGAACCUUACCAGGUCUUGACAUACUAUGCAAAUCUAAGAGAUUAGACGUUCCCUUCGGGGACAUGGAUACAGGUGGUGCAUGGUUGUCGUCAGCUCGUGUCGUGAGAUGUUGGGUUAAGUCCCGCAACGAGCGCAACCCUUAUUAUCAGUUGCCAGCAUUAAGUUGGGCACUCUGGUGAGACUGCCGGUGACAAACCGGAGGAAGGUGGGGAUGACGUCAAAUCAUCAUGCCCCUUAUGACCUGGGCUACACACGUGCUACAAUGGAUGGUACAACGAGUUGCGAACUCGCGAGAGUAAGCUAAUCUCUUAAAGCCAUUCUCAGUUCGGAUUGUAGGCUGCAACUCGCCUACAUGAAGUCGGAAUCGCUAGUAAUCGCGGAUCAGCAUGCCGCGGUGAAUACGUUCCCGGGCCUUGUACACACCGCCCGUCACACCAUGAGAGUUUGUAACACCCAAAGUCGGUGGGGUAACCUUUUAGGAACCAGCCGCCUAAGGUGGGACAGAUGAUUAGGGUGAAGUCGUAACAAGGUAGCCGUAGGAGAACCUGCGGCUGGAUCACCUCCUUU
rnacentral:rRNA from 1 species